rnacentral:rRNA from 1 species
AACGAACGCUGGCGGCAUGCCUAACACAUGCAAGUCGAACGAGAUCUUCGGGUCUAGUGGCGCACGGGUGCGUAACGCGUGGGAAUCUGCCCUUUGGUUCGGAAUAACAGUUGGAAACGACUGCUAAUACCGGAUGAUGACGAAAGUCCAAAGAUUUAUCGCCAGAGGAUGAGCCCGCGUAGGAUUAGCUAGUUGGUGUGGUAAAGGCGCACCAAGGCGACGAUCCUUAGCUGGUCUGAAAGGAUGAUCAGCCACACUGGGACUGAGACACGGCCCAGACGCCUACGGGGAGCAGCGGUGGGGAAUAUUGGACAAUGGGCGAAAGCCUGAUCUAGCAAUGCCGCGUGAGUGAUGAAGGCCUUAGGGUUGUAAAGCUCAUUUACCCGGGAUGAUAAUGACAGUACCGGGAGAAUAAGCUCCGGCUAACUCCGUGCCAGCCGCCGCGGUAA